AACGAACGCUGGCGGCAUGCCUAACACAUGCGAGUCGAACGAGACCUUCGGGUCUAGUGGCGCACGGGUGCGUAACGCGUGGGAAUCUACCCUUGGGUUCGGAAUAACAGUUAGAAAUGACUGCUAAUACCGGAUGAUGACGUAAGUCCAAAGAUUUAUCGCCCAAGGAUGAGCCCGCGUAAGAUUAGCUCGUUGGUGGGGUAAUGGCCUACCAAGGCGACGAUCUUUAGCUGGUCUGAGAGGAUGAUCAGCCACACUGGGACUGAGACACGGCCCAGACUCCUACGGGAGGCAGCAGUGGGGAAUAUUGGACAAUGGGCGAAAGCCUGAUCCAGUAAUGCCGCGUGAGUGAUGAAGGCCUUAGGGUUGUAAAGCUCUUUUACCAGGGAUGAUAAUGACAGUACCUGGAGAAUAAGCUCCGGCUAACUCCGUGCCAGCAGCCGCCGUAA
rnacentral:rRNA from 1 species